UACGUAGGGUCCGAGCGUUGUCCGGAUUUAUUGGGCGUAAAGAGCUCGUAGGCGGCUCAGUAAGUCAGAUGUGAAAACUCAGGGCUCAACCCGGAGACGCCAUCUGAUACUGCUGUGGCUUGAGUCUGGUAGGGGAUCACGGAAUUCCUGGUGUAGCGGUGAAAUGCGCAGAUAUCAGGAAGAACACCGAUGGCGAAGGCAGCUCUCUGGGACGGUACUGACGCUGAGACGCGAAAGCGUGGGGAGCGAACAGG
rnacentral:rRNA from 1 species